AAUAAGAGGGAGCUGAGAGAGGCCAGACUCAGCUGGGAGCUCUUUGAAGCUGAGCUCUCGGGUCCUCUCACCAUGGCCUGGCCUCUCGUCUGUCUCUCACUGCUCUCCUUCUGCUCAGGCUCCCUCUCCCAGGCUGUGGUGACUCAGCCUCCCUCUGCCUCUGCAGCCCUGGGGAGCUCGGCCAGACUCUCCUGCACCCUGAGCAGUGUGUCCAGUGCUUUUCCUGUUACUUGGCACCAGCAGAGCCCAGGAAAGCCCCCUCGGUCCCUCCUGUAUGUCGGCAGUGAUGGAAGUACCAGCAGGGCCGACGGGAUCCCUGAGCGCUUCUCUGGCUCCGGAUCUGGGACGAACCGAUUCCUGUCCAUCAGCAACGUCGAGCCCGAGGAUGAAGCUGAUUAUUUCUGUGAGGCAUUUUACUACUCUGGUGGUAGUUAUCCUUUUACACAGUGA